rnacentral:lncRNA from 1 species
ACAACCUUUUCAGUCUCAUUUAGGGGCAUUAUGUUUUUGGGUCUGUGCGACUGUUUGUUCGUUCAUUUGUCACGUUCAGUUUCAGGUUCAAGUCUUUGGUCAAGGUAGUUUUUGAGGGAGUUGAAGUCCAAUCAACUUGAAACUUAGUACACAUGUUUUCUAUGAUAUGAUCUUUCUAAUUUUCUAAUUUUAAUCCCAAAUUAGAGUUAUGACCCUAAUUGCACGGUCCACUAAACUGUGCAGGUUGGGCAUCCGUGUACUAUGGACACAUUCUUUUUUAAAUUGUUCACCAAAACUUCAGUGUGUCAUGGGCCUCAUGGGUGAGGGCAGCGUAUUUACAAAUUGGAGAAAUGAGAUGUAAUUCGUCUUGAUCAUCAUCAUUUUUCAUCAUCUGUCUUUUGUUCAACUUUUGUUAUUGCUUUUAUGUAUGAUUGGUAGCUAAGGUCAUUUCAUUGGAUGGUCGAUUUUCAUGCAUAAAUUAUAUCCCCUCCAUUGAAUUAUUGUUUAAUGCAUUCAACAAACACAGAUGGGAAUUUGGAAAAUAUUUCUUCUCUCAGGUUAUA